rnacentral:tRNA from 1 species
GGCUCGGUAGCUCAGUUGAAUAGAGCGUCAGAUUCCGGUUCUGCAGGUCGUGGGUUUGAGCCCCACCCGAGUCA